GCCUGGCCCUAAAUCUUGAUGCUCGAUAUUACCUGAGCGUCCGCCCGAGAACUACGAGCAUAAACGCUUAAAACUCUAAGGACUUGGCGGUGCUUCAAACCCACCUAGAGGAGCCUGUUCUGUAAUCGAUGAUCCACGCUAUUACCUGACCAUUCCUUGCACGAAUCAGCCUAUAUACCGCCGUCGCCAGCCCACCUUCCCUGACAGCCCAACAGUGGACGCAAUAGCCUAACCCGCUAAUAAGACAGGUCAAGGUAUAGCCUAUGGAAUGGAAGCAAUGGGCUACAUUUUCUAGAUUAGAACAUACGGAAAAGGAUAUGAAACUGUCCUUGGAAGGCGGAUUUAGCAGUAAGGAGAGACAAUCGAGCCCUCCUUAAGCCGGCUCUGAAGCACGU
rnacentral:rRNA from 1 species